rnacentral:rRNA from 1 species
AUUGAACGCUGGCGGCAGGCCUAACACAUGCAAGUCGGGCGGAUGAAGGGAGCUUGCUCCUGGAUUCAGCGGCGGACGGGUGAGUAAUGCCUAGGAAUCUGCCUGGUAGUGGGGGAUAACGUCCGGAAACGGGCGCUAAUACCGCAUACGUCCUGAGGGAGAAAGUGGGGGAUCUUCGGACCUCACGCUAUCAGAUGAGCCUAGGUCGGAUUAGCUAGUUGGUGGGGUAAAGGCCUACCAAGGCGACGAUCCGUAACUGGUCUGAGAGGAUGAUCAGUCACACUGGAACUGAGACACGGUCCAUACUCCUACGGGAGGCAGCAGUGGGGAAUAUUGGACAAUGGGCGAAAGCCUGAUCCAGCCAUGCCGCGUGUGUGAAGAAGGUCUUCGGAUUGUAAAGCACUUUAAGUUGGGAGGAAGGGCAGUAAGUUAAUACCUUGCUGUUUUGACGUUACCAACAGAAUAAGCACCGGCUAACUUCGUG